CGGGUGGAGUUGUGCUGUGCCCCUGGGGCUCUUCUUAACCGCUGUUUGCACAGCGUUCCACCCGGUUAUCGUCCCGUGAUUUGCUUAGUGGAUCCCGUGUUGUUACGUAAUGAUGAUGACAGCCUCCCCAUCAACAAGGUGCAAGCUCUGGACUCCGAAUUCAGAAAGGAGAGUUAGAUGCCGACACCGCUGCAUAGGAGUUUACAGGACUAAGAACAUCAGACUUAACCUGUGAAUCUGCACAGUAUAUUGAACCAGACCUUGGGAUGCCUGGCAGUGAAAAUGGGUUUUGGACUUGAAAUCCUCCGCCUCAACUUCUACAGAAGAGAAUAAAAG